GGAUGUCUGGUCGUACAGGAAAGGGCAGGGGCGACUCCCCACUCUUCAAAACCCUAGAACUUCACUAAUCUUGCAAAUUGAAGGUCCAAUUCAGUCCAAAAUCGAAAUUUAAGCAUGGAUUAUUGAUCCACAUCACAAGAGGAUUAAAAGUUUGAUCUCGUCAAGCUAAGUGGGAGCUGGAAAGGAAUGGAUCAAACGGAUCAUGGAUGCGAAGAAUGUUUGCGCGGACGCGAGAUUAUAA
rnacentral:lncRNA from 1 species